rnacentral:rRNA from 1 species
UGCAGAAUCCCGUGAAUCAUCAAGUCUUUGAACGCAAGUUGUGCCCGAAGCCAUUAGGUUGAGGGCACGUCUGCCUGGGCGUCACGC